AUUUAACUGACGAAUCCCAAAUGAGGCGAAACGCGCGUCUUGGAU
rnacentral:hammerhead_ribozyme from 1 species